UGGGGUAUAGCCAAGCGGUAAGGCAACGGGUUUUGAUCCCGUCAUGCGUAGGUUCGAAUCCUUCUACCCCAGCCA
rnacentral:tRNA from 12 species